rnacentral:rRNA from 1 species
UGGGGAAUUUUGCGCAAUGGGGGAAGCCCUGACGCAGCAACGCCGCGUGAGUGAUGAAGGCCCUUGGGUCGUAAAGCUCUGUCAGAGGGAAAGAAAUGUGGGCGGCUAAUAUCCGUUCCACUUGACGGUACCCUCAAAGGAAGCACCGGCUAACUCCGUGCCAGCAGCCGCGGUAAUACGGAGGGUGCAAGCGUUGUUCGGAUUUAUUGGGCGUAAAGGGCGUGUAGGCGGUCUCAUAAGUCUGAUGUGAAAGCCCCGGGCUCAACCCGGGAAGUGCAUUGGAAACUGCGAGACUUGAGUACGGGAGAGGGCAGUGGAAUUCCUAGUGUAGGAGUGAAAUCCGUAGAUAUUAGGAGGAACACCGGUGGCGAAGGCGGCUGCCUGGACCGAUACUGACGCUGAGACGCGAAAGCGUGGGGAGCAAACAGG